AUGUGAAAGAUGGUUCUGGGUUAAAAAAACAAGUUUGGAGGAAAAAUCUCACCCUCUCAAAUUAUUCUUCAAAGAAUCCAGGAAUUUGCAACCCUGUUUACUUAUCCAAGAGAGCAAUUUUUUAGAGACCAUGUCCUUGCCUCAUGCCUGCUGCCAUCUCCUUGCCUCAUACCCUCUCCAUAGUUGCUUGUUCACCAGUUUCCGUA
rnacentral:misc_RNA from 1 species